GAGCCAUUAGCUCAGUUGGUAGAGCAUCUGACUUUUAAUCAGAGGGUCGAAGGUUCGAAUCCUUCACGGCUCACCA
rnacentral:tRNA from 1 species